UAUUGAGCUAGUGAAAUAAAGCCUGAACAAUAAAAAGCAAGAAUAGUGUUACAUGGAUCAAACAUAGAGAAUUGCUUCCUGAGACAGGAUUGCCGUUCGCCCACGUUGUUUUGCCACGAAGAGAUCUCUUUUCUCUUCUUCCUUCCUCUUUGUCUAGUAUAUUAUCUCUUGGCACACGUACGCUAAAUGUCAGCCCGGCCUUCUUUACGGUUUCAUGUCAAGGUAUGAAAGCACCUUAGGUAUAUCUCAACCAUAUAUGCCUUCGUGUACUUUGAAUAUUAAUGCUCUACUAUCUACGGGGUGGUCCGAACUCGUGAGGACCAGGGACUUGGUAUAGAGUAUGCCAACAUUGGUCUCACGGUGGCAUCGUCACGACGAUGUGGGAGCUCGUAGCAAACCAAGAAUGAGACACAGACGUAGUCGAGGACAUCGAGACAACCUUUUCUGGUUGCAUCAAGUGGACUGACACGUCCGGAUUUACUGUUUUCCGGUUUUGGAGUUGGGGACCUUGACCUUUGUUUACUAUCAAGGUCGUUUACUUGACGAACUGGACUUCCCUUAGUCUGAGGGGUGGGACUACGUGAUCGGUUUCCUCCACGUGUCAGAUCUUCUCCAAGAUGCUGUCGUGCUGCGUGAUGUGGUGUCGGUGAACGAGAUCGGUUGUUUGAUACGCUUCUGGGUGUCUGUAAAGAGUGAGGUUGUUGCUGUGUCGUGCCAGCUCCUGAACCCACGCUUGAUGCGGAACUCCUGCGUGUUCUCGGAGUCAUCUAUUUUUAUUACAACUUACCUUUCGUAAUGCACCUGCGCACUUCCAAGGUCAAAGGAUCCACCGGCUUUUUGAAUGAGUUUAGCAGAAAUCAUUGAUCGGUGGGCUGAAAAUGAGUUUAUUAUUCAAUCAAAAAAUUAUUUUCUCCUGCAUCAGACUAGUUGGUGAUUAAUUAUCAUAUGUGAUAUUGCAAAAUCAACUUACAAGUACGGCAGCGACAUGGAUCAUGCUUGUCAAGGUAAUGGCUGAGAGUGUCCCAACCACCACCCACUCGUACCAUAACAUGGCUUCUCAAAAUUCUGACGAAGAUGAGGACUUUCGUGUCACCAAUUCUAUAUUUGCCUUCGGAUACUCGAAUCAUUGGAAACUGGGUCGGACAAGUGCAUUUUUCCACUAAAUCACGAACCUGAAAAUGAGAAAAAAAAAUUCAUAUAAACUUUUCAUCACAAGUUUUUCAAGCAGGCUUCAUAUGUUAACAUAAUGCUGAUGUUUUUGAAGGUAUUGAUGUGCGGAACACGACGUAAGGCGCAUCGAUGUGGACAAAUUGUGUGGCGCAUUGCAGGUGAGUGGACAGGAUGAAUGUUAUGAUGCUAUAAUGCAAGGCCGCCAUGGACUUACGUAACUCAACCCAGCGAUACGGAAUACAGAUUAUCAGUGUAUUCGUUUAGAGAGAAACUGUAAUGACACAAGUAAACACUGGAGUAGGUGACUUGUUGAAACCGCUGUAUCUAAGUAGUGUAUGGGUUAAUGUUAUACUUGAAUACAUGCACGGAGUUCUCAAGACUUGUCGGUGCUGCAUCAUUAUGUACUUCAACAUGUACAUGGCCGGGUGCGGUACAUGAAGCAGCGCAUAAAUAUCUUAUACGGCCAAGGCACGCGCUGGGGUCACGCAACAAGGAUCUGAAGAGGUGGACAUUCA